rnacentral:rRNA from 1 species
GACGAAGGAUGCAAGCGUUAUCCGGAUUCAUUGGGUUUAAAGGGAGCGUAGGCGGCCUUGUAAGUCAGUGGUGAAAUCUCUCGGCUUAACCGAGAAAUUGCCAUUGAUACUGCAGGGCUUGAGUACAGUUGCCGUUGGCGGAAUAUGACAUGUAGUGGUGAAAUACAUAGAGAUGUCAUAGAACACCGAUUGCGAAGGCAGCUAACGAAACUGUAACUGACGCUGAGGCUCGAAAGUGCGGGGAUCAAGCAGG